rnacentral:rRNA from 1 species
UACGGAGGGUGCAAGCGUUAUCCGGAUUCACUGGGUUUAAAGGGUGCGUAGGAGGGCAGGUAAGUCAGUGGUGAAAUCUCCGAGCUUAACUCGGAAACUGCCGUUGAUACUAUCUGUCUUGAAUACCGUGGAGGUGAGCGGAAUAUGUCAUGUAGCGGUGAAAUGCUUAGAUAUGACAUAGAACACCAAUUGCGAAGGCAGCUCACUACACGAGCAUUGACUCUGAGGCACAAAAAGCGUGGGGAUCAAACAGG